UCGGGAAUAUUGGGCAAUGGGCGAAAGCCUGACCCAGCAACGCCGCGUGAAGGAUGAAGGCCCUAGGGUCGUAAACUUCUGUCGAGAGGGAAGAACUGCUUGCGGGCGAAUAGUCCGUAGGUUUGACGGUACCUCCAGAGGAAGCACCGGCUAACUCCGUGCCAGCAGCCGCGGUAAUACGGAGGGUGCAAGCGUUGUUCGGAUUUAUUGGGCGUAAAGCGAGUGUAGGCGGUUCGACAAGUCGGAUGUGAAAUCCCAGGGCCCAACCCUGGAACUGCAUCCGAUACUGUCAGGCUAGAGUCCCGGAGAGGGUGGCGGAAUUCCCGGUGUAGGGGUGAAAUCCGUAGAUAUCGGGAGGAACACCAGUGGCGAAGGCGGCCACCUGGACGGUGACUGACGCUGAGACUCGAAAGCGUGGGUAGCAAACAGGAUUAGAUACCCCCGUAGUCC
rnacentral:rRNA from 1 species